rnacentral:lncRNA from 1 species
CCUAGUCUCAUGUUUUGCGCCACAAAGCGGGAAAAUUCAGGCCCAUGCACAUGUUUUGGGCAGCAGCCCAAGUGAUUUUGGACGCGGUUCAUACUUGGAUUUCUAGAUAAAAAUGAUUCAUAGUUAGAGCAAGAAAUUCUUUGUGCACCGCAUGCAGUGCGCAUGUUGCGCACCGCACGUGAUAAUUGGCUCACGCACGGAGUUGGACAGUGGUGUAAAAAAAAAUAUUUUUCUCGUCCGGCCCCGCGUGUGGGCCAAUCACCGUGUGCGGUGCGCGUGGUGCACAAAAAAUUUCUCAGUU